GCUCCAAUAGCUCAAUUGGAUAGAGCGUCUGUCUUCGGAACAGAAGGUUGCAGGUUCAAGUCCUGCUUGGAGCAC
rnacentral:tRNA from 15 species